rnacentral:lncRNA from 1 species
CUGCGACCACGGCCACCGCCGCUGCCGAAGACGGCUCCGCCGCAUUCGAGCUCCCGAGCCCUCGGUAGUAACGCAGCACCUCCUCCGGUAUCACCUCCUCCCUCCCCCUCUUCAUUCCACCGCCGCCCCACACCGCCGCCAAAUUCGGCGCCGCGUUCCCACCGUCCUCCCCCGCGACGACCUGCGCCAGCGCCGACACCAUCACCGACAUUUCCCUCGCCUGCCCGAACUCCGAAAGCAUGUACGGCGAUCCCACGUGCGCCUGCUGGUGGUGGUGGUGGUGGUGGUGGUGCUGCUGCUGCUGCUGCUGCUGCUGCUGCGGAACCAAUUCUUCGUCUCCGGCCCCCUGCGCGCCGGCCCUCGGCUGCGGCGGCGCCGCUAGCUUCGCAAGCUCGUGAAAUUCUCGUGGGUCCGCCACUUUGAAACACACAAAUCAAGUGAUCACCCCAAUUGCUCUCUCUUCAAAGCUUCAUUGCCCUUUGAAUUCUCGUUCCUCAACUCCUAUAUAUAGUUAUGGAGACUUUACAAAGCAACCAAAAAAAAAAGUAAAAAAAAGGAAAGGGCUUGUAUUAAGCAAAC